GACUUGCCAAUGGUUUUGUCCUAUUUGUCCUAGACUGCAAUUUAUUCCUGAAUAAAUCCAUUUUUUUGCUGAUAAAAUAACGGACAGUUUUAUUUUUAAGAUUAACACAACUUGGUGAUCAGAAAUGGGAUCCAGUGAAGACCGUCAGCAACUCUGAGGCUGGUGAGAUGAUGGUUACCUACAGAGCCAAGUGGAUUUGCUGCUUACUCACCAACGCUGGGAUUUGAAGAGAGAGAUACAGCGAGAGAGAGAACACAAGCAGGGGGAGUGGAAGAGUGGAAGAGGGAGAAGCAAACUUGCUGCUGAGCAGGAAGCCAGAUGUGGGCUCGAUCCCAGCUAUCAUCCUCAAAUGAUAUUGGCAGAAUCCACAGUGUACCUUCCAUCAAAAUUCAAAUGAAGUCUUCAAAACCUCAUCCCACAAUUCAUCAAUACCCUAGAAGCCUCCUGAUUCAUGUGACACACCUAAAGAAAGCACCAAACCCUGACUGGACCUGCGUAUCAUGUGGUGACCUGAAAGUAUAGAUUUCCUGGAACUGAAGCAGAUAACAUCUGAUGACACGCCUUCCCAAGAUGUCUGGACCAGGCUGUAUACCUUUUUCUCACUCCUCUCCUCUCUCAUGGAAAGUCAAAGUACUCUUCUGCAUUUCCCAAGCCCUUGUAAAAAACCUCUUCUUUUGAUUAUGGUCUUUAGGAAACAUCCUUAUGAUCCCAGGACAAAUUAAUUUUUCACUUGCUUUUUCUGAAGGGUUAGAAGAUUCAGAAUUCACAAAAAUUUUAUUUCAUCUGAACUAUUAACUGACUUUGGAUUCUUACCCAAAUUAAUGGUCUCUAACGUUGCAAACUUACUGGCUGU